CACGUAGGGCGCAAGCGUUGUCCGGAAUUAUUGGGCGUAAAGAGCUCGUAGGCGGUCUGUUGCGUCCGCUGUGAAAACUCGGGGCUUAACCCCGAGCCUGCAGUGGAUACGGGCAGACUAGAGGUAGGUAGGGGAGAAUGGAAUUCCCGGUGUAGCGGUGAAAUGCGCAGAUAUCGGGAGGAACACCGGUGGCGAAGGCGAUCACCUGGGGUUGUACUGACGCUGAGGAGCGAAAGCUAGGGGAGCAAACGGG
rnacentral:rRNA from 1 species